AAUGAACGUUGGCGGCGUGGAUUAGGCAUGCAAGUCGAGCGAGAACCCGCAAGGGGGACAGCGGCGAACGGGGUAGUAAGGCGUAGGUAACGUGCCCUUAGGGCCGGGAUAGCCACGGGAAACUGUGGGUAAUACCGGAUAAUCUCUGAGAGCCGAAAGGCUUUUUGAGCAAUGGGUGUGAUUCCACCUUUGGAGCGGCUUACGUGGUAUUAGCUAGUUGGUGAGGUAAUGGCUCACCAAGGCUACGAUGCCUAGGGGGUGUGAGAGCAUGGCCCCCACCACUGGGACUGAGAUACUGCCCAGACACCUACGGGUGGCUGCAGUCGAGAAUCUUCGGCAAUGGACGAAAGUCUGACCGAGCGACGCCGCGUGCGGGAUGAAGGCCUUCGGGUUGUAAACCGCUGUCAGAGGGGAUGAAAUGCGCAGGAGCUAUCUCUUGCGCUUGACAGAGCCUCAGAGGAAGCACGGGCUAAGUACGUGCCAGCAGCCGCAGUAAAAC
rnacentral:rRNA from 1 species